AUAUAAGUAUACAAAUAUAUAAUAUAUAAUAUUUAUUUCUACAUAUUAAACUCAUAAACAAAUUUUAAGAUUUGUAAUUCUUACAAUAUAUUUUAAGUUUGAAGAUUUUAAUGUGAAAAUCUAAACUUAUUAAAGUCGAUAAAGAGAUUAGAAAAAUAUAAUAUAAGAGAGUUACAGUAGCUAAUUUCAAAAGUUUUCUAAACGUUUCAGAAUUUUUUAUAUUAAAAAAAUUAUGAGAAUUACGGAUUUUGAGUCUCAAAAUAUUGAGAGUAUCGAAAAAUUAAAAAAGUAUAUGAAAACUAAUUAACUUAUAUUGUCUAAAAUUUUAAAUAUUUUAAGAAUCUCGAUUUUGAGAUUUUGAAUUGCGAAAAUCUAAAUUCUGAAAAUUAAUGAAAUAUUAGAAUGCAUUAAUCUAGACAAAGCAAAUUAUAACUCCAAAUAUUUCAAUUUUAAAAACUGUCUUUCUAUUAUUUUACAUUAUAAAUAAAACUAUGAGUAUAUUAUUUUAGAUUUCAAAGAUGAUAACACAAUAUAAUUGCGAAGAUGCAAAUAUCAAUCAGUAAAUUAUAUAAUAUCAAUUAUUAAAUAUGUAUAUUAUUUUUUAAAUAUUUGGAUUACCUUUUAGCAAAGAAAAUAUUAAAAAACGAAGCGGUCAAAACUGCCUUGUGGAAUUUAUCUCUUCAGAAAUUCAAUGUUUGAAUAAUAUAGGUAUAAAUGCAUUUCAGGAAAAGUGUAUUGUAUUUGCGAACGUACAGUUUAAUUAAUAAAAUUUAUUUUAGAUAAAGUUUCUACUACUUUGAUGUUUAUUAAAAAAUUGAUUGUUUUAUGUGCAACCAUUAUUAUUGUUUUAAUUUGCAUUAAAAUUUGUUUUAUACGGAAUUGUUUUUUUUUUAUAGUGGAUGAUAAUAGACGUUCUUGCCGACACCUUGCAUUGUUCUUCGAUUUACCGCAGCCUCGUGGAUGGUGUCUCAUCCCGAUCAAAAUUGCAUGUUGUGGUUAUACAAUGGUUCUCCGACCUGCUUUCUUCAUGCUACAAAGAAGCAGGUAGCAAUGAUCGCGCCGAGCCAGUUCUUUUCUCUACAACCCCAGGGAGAAAUGAUAUCGGAAUAUCUGUCAGAAAGGUUGACGUGCCGAGCUGCCGAUGGAACUAUUGAAUUCAGGUAAUUUGCGAAAGAGCACUCGCUUAAAAUUCAUAAAGCAAAAUUGAGCAGUGACUACGUCUUCAUUUACAUUUCUAAAGCUAAUUGGAUUUAUUUCUCUCUGGAAAGAAGCUUGAGACAGUGAGAGGAAGGGAGGGGCGCAUGAUUUUUUUUCUAGAUCUACCGAAAUCCGAAAAUAAUGCGGCUUAAUUAAAAUUAAUAAAAAUUAAUCGAAAUCAAAGAUUCUCGAGAUCUCUUGUGGGGAUCUAACGGAAUAAUUUUGACGUCGUCCUUACGGGCGUCGGGACGUUAAGAAGCGCGGAAUGACAAGAUUCCGAAGGAGGAACGAUAACAGGUUUGCGCACGCAAAGGAAGCCCGACGCGGUGCGCGCGAGAGGACGAUACCGCGCAAAGACGGCGCGGCGCGGCGGUACUGCAAUUGCGAUCGAGUGAUGAGGUAAAAAGGGAAGAGCGACCGAGAGCAUCGGAAGCGAACGGCGCCCCGAGGUUAUUACCGGAGCGGGAAGGACGGGCGGAAUGAGUUCGAACGAAGUGCACGCCCAUCCCCCGUUUAGAAUCUAGUCUACCGGAAAUUUGCAGUUACCUUGCAUUCCUUGCAGGGUCGAACGCUUCGGGGGACGUUUCUCCUAUCACCGCUCGAGGGGGGAGGAAGGGGAGGGAUCUUUAAUUGCUCGCGGCUGAAACGGGAUUUCCAAUUUUUGCAUUCGUUGCGAGUCGCGAGGAUGAUUUUCAUUCACCGGAAGGAAAAGUAGAUUUGGCAGCGGAAAGUGUUGCCGGACGGUGGGCAAUUGUCAAUGUAGGCGCACGGGCCUAAAUUUCGCGAGGUUGGAACACGAAGGUGACAAUGUCAAGUCGUUUUUCAAACUUAUUUCGCGAGAUUUGAUUUUACAUUACACCAACGUUGAUCAUAGUCGCGUUGUACUAGUGUUAAAGAAAUUAAAUACUUUGAAAUUGUUGAUAUCUCUUUCUCUGGAAUACAGCGACUUCAUUUAUAUAUUUAAAAUAUUUUUUAUUAAUUGCGUUAUUAUUUAUAGAAUUUGUAAGUAUGCAUGGAAAAUAGAGGAAAGUGUCAUCAAUUUUGAGAUCAACCUUUGAAAGUAACACCUCUUAUUUCUUGAAAACUAAACACUGCUUUUUAUGAAUUUUGAUAAAAACAUGAUCUUCUUUGAUAAUUAAAAAAUUAAAAAGCCAUAAUUUAUAUAUUCGUGCUUUUUUUAAUGCAAAAUCUGCUAAAAACAGAUUUAUCAAAAGUGGAUAUAAAAUUUGCACGAUUUUUUUUGUAGAUUGCAUAGUUUGAACAAUAUUGGUAUAAGCAUUGUUGAUAAUAUUAGUCCAUACAUAUUUGUAGUCCUAAAAUUUAUAUUUUUCUUGUUUUUAUAUUUUUCUUUUUAUAAUAAGGUUUUAAACAUAAAAUCGGGAGCAAGGUAAACUGGCACAAUUACUGAUAAAAACAGACUAUAAGAUAAUAAAAAUUAUGUAAAACAAAAUAAAAGUCACAGCAUUAUGAGAUUGCAUUUGUUAAGUUAGUUAAUCUAAUCUCUAUACAAAAUAUUGCCGCGUUACACGUUGUCUUGAGAAACAACAUAAGAUAUUUAUCAAAAUCACAAAAAGCGUUUUAUAUUAGCGAAAGACUUCUAGCUGAAUCCUCAUAUACGUGUCAACUUGUAAGUAUUUUAUAAAGAUGACUCAUGUAAAUGGAAAAAAAAGAAAAAUGUAGCAUUACUGCCUAUUAUGUUAAUGUUGGGGCUCAUUCUGUCAGACUUAAUUAUUGCAGUACUAAAAAAAUAAAAAAUUAUAGUAAA